GAAGUAGUUUAAAUAAAAUAUUAACAUUGGAAGUUAAAGAUUGAGUUAAGGCUUAUUUCUUGAUAU
rnacentral:tRNA from 1 species